rnacentral:lncRNA from 1 species
UGCGUAUUUUAUCCCAAAAUAUACCUCAGAGGUAUUUUAAUCGUUCGGCUGCUGUCCUAUUGACGUAUGUGCAAUAUCUCAAAUUAUCUAAACCCUGUGGAUCAAAUUGGAUGCUAUAUUACCUUACAAGUUUACUGAAAUCGUGCUUUCUAUAUAGAAAGAAGACGAUAAGGUAUGAGUGCCAAAUGAGAGCUCUUACCACCCAAGACGUAAUCUACAAAACUAAGUUUGUCUUAUGGGGUAAUUGUGUGCAUCACUGUUGUUU